UACAGAGGGUGCAAGCGUUGCUCGGAAUCAUUGGGCGUAAAGGGCAGGUAGGUGGUCUCGUUUGUCUGGGGUGAAAGCCUUGAGCUUAACUCAAGAAGUGCCUCAGAAACGGCGAGACUGGAGUCUUGGAGAGGGUCGUGGAAUUCCCGGUGUAGCGGUGAAAUGCGUAGAGAUCGGGAGGAACACCAGAGGCGAAGGCGGCGACCUGGACAAGUACUGACACUCAACUGCGAAAGCGUGGGGAGCAAACAGG
rnacentral:rRNA from 1 species